AUUUUAAAGCUCUUAGGCUGGUAUAAAUAGUCAGUACUUCAGAUGCAACCCGGUCUCAAGAUGCGGUUCGGCUCUGUGAUUGGUCCAA